UUUGGCGGGCCGCGGUCCUCCGCGGCCGCCCCCCUCCCCGGGGGGGUGGCCAGCGCCCGCCAGAGGACCAUCAAACUCCAGUCAGUAAACGAUGCAGUCUGAAAAACAUUUAAUAAACUAAAACUUUCAACAACGGAUCUCUUGGUUCUGGCAUCGAUGAAGAACGCAGCGAAAUGCGAUAAGUAAUGUGAAUUGCAGAAUUCAGUGAAUCAUCGAAUCUUUGAACGCACAUUGCGCCCUUUGGUAUUCCGAAGGGCAUGCCUGUUCGAGCGUCAUUACAACCCUCAAGCUCUGCUUGGUAUUGGGCACCGUCCUUUGCGGGCGCGCCUCAAAGACCUCGGCGGUGGCGUCUUGCCUCAAGCGUAGUAGAACAUACAUCUCGCUUCGGAGCGCAGGGCGUCGCCCGCCGGACGAACCUUCUGAACUUUUCUCAAGGUUGACCUCGGAUCAGGUAGGGAUACCCGCUGAACUUAAGCAUA
rnacentral:rRNA from 1 species